GUUAGUUAACUGGCUAAGUUAACUAGGUUAUGUGUGUGUUAGUUAACUGGCUAAGUUAACUAGGUUAUGUGUGUGUUAGUUAACUGGCUAAGUUAACUAGGUUAUGUGUGUGUUAGUUAACUGGCUAAGUUAACUAGGUUAUGUGUGUGUUAGUUAGCUAGUUUAAAUGUGUGUUAGUUAGCUAGGUUAUGUGUGUGUUAGUUAACUGGCUAAGUUAGCUAGGUUAUGUGUGUGUUAGUUAACUGGCUAAGUUAGCUAGGUUAUGUGUGUGUUAGUUAGCUAGUUUAAAUGUGUGUUAGUUAGCUAGGUUAUGUGUGUGUUAGUUAACUGGCUAAGUUAGCUAGGUUAUGUGUGUGUUAGUUAACUGGCUAAGUUAACUAGGUUAUGUGUGUGUUAGUUAACUGGCUAAGUUAGCUAGGUUAUGUGUGUGUUAGUUAGCUAGUUUAAAUGUGUGUUAGUUAGCUAGGUUAUGUGUGUGUUAGUUAGCUAGUUUAAAUGUGUGUUAGUUAGCUAGGUUAUGUGUGUUCGUUUGCUAGCUAAGUUAACUUUUAUGUGUGGGUUAGUUAGCUAGGUUAUAUGUGUGUUAGCAAGUUAAAUGCGUGUGUGUUAGUUAGCUAGGUUAAAUGUGUGUUAGUUAGCAAGCUAAGUUAGCUAGGGUAAAUGUGUGUGUUAGCUAGGUUAAUUGUGUUAGCUAGU